rnacentral:rRNA from 1 species
AGCGAACGCUGGCGGCAGGCCUAACACAUGCAAGUCGAACGAACCCUUCGGGGUUAGUGGCGGACGGGUGAGUAACACGUGGGAACGUGCCUUUAGGUUCGGAAUAACUCAGGGAAACUUGUGCUAAUACCGAAUGUGCCCUUCGGGGGAAAGAUUUAUCGCCUUUAGAGCGGCCCGCGUCUGAUUAGCUAGUUGGUGAGGUAGUGGCUCGCCAAGGCUACGAUCAGUAGCUGGUCUGAGAGGAUGACCAGACACAUUGGGACUGAGACACGGCCCAAACUCCUACGGGAGGCAGCAGUGGGGAAUCUUGCGCAAUGGGCGAAAGCCUGACGCAGCCAUGCCGCGUGGAUGAUGAAGGUCUUAGGAUUGUAAAAUCCUUUCACCGGUGAAGAUAAUGACUGUAGCCGGAGAAGAAGCCCCGGCUAACUUCGUGCCAGCCGCCGCUGUAAUAC